UACGUAGGGGGCAAGCGUUGUCCGGAAUUAUUGGGCGUAAAGAGCGUGUAGGCGGUCCGGUAAGUCAGCUGUGAAAGUCAAAGGCUCAACCUUUGAAAGCCGAUGGAUACUGUGAGGCUAGAGUCCGGAAGAGGCGAGUGGAAUUCCUGGUGUAGCGGUGGAAUGCGCAGAUAUCAGGAGGAACACCAAUGGCGAAGGCAGCUCGCUGGGACGGUACUGACGCUAAGGCGCGAAAGCGUGGGGAGCGAACAGG
rnacentral:rRNA from 1 species